rnacentral:rRNA from 1 species
CUCCUACGGGAGGCAGCAGUGGGGAAUAUUGGACAAUGGGAGCAGCCUGAUCCAGCCAUACCGCGUGGGUGAAGAACGGCCUUCGGGUUGUAAAGCCCUUUUGUUGGGAAAGAAAAGCAGUCGAUUAAUACUCGGUUGUUCUGACGGUACCCAAAGAAUAAGCACCCGGACUAACUUCGUGCCAGCAGCCGCGGUAAUACGAAGGGUGCAAGCGUUACUCGGAAUUACUGGGCGUAAAGCGUGCGUAGGUGGUUGUUUAAGUCUGUUGUGAAAGCCCUGGGCUCAACCUGGGAAUUGCAGUGGAUACUGGGCGACUAGAGUGUGGUAGAGGGUAGUGGAAUUCCCGGUGUAGCAGUGAAAUGCGUAGAGAUCGGGAGGAACAUCCAUGGCGAAGGCAGCUACCUGGACCAACACUGACAC